rnacentral:misc_RNA from 1 species
UUGAUCGCAUGCUUCGAAUGUUGAUCACUAGAAGCUGUGGAUCCCUACGCAAGCUUUGUGUCGCUGGAAUUUCCAAUGACACCAUUUUCUCGUUUCUCCUUGAGCAUGCUGGAUCCCUUCAGACUUUGAGGAUGCCAAGAAGCGAAAUAAGUGAUUCAAUUGUUGAACAGAUUGCUGGAAGACUUUCAACAAUCACUUUCUUGGAUGUGA